rnacentral:rRNA from 1 species
AGCGAACGCUGGCGGCAGGCUUAACACAUGCAAGUCGAGCGCCCCGCAAGGGGAGCGGCAGACGGGUGAGUAACACGUGGGAACGUACCCUUUGGUUCGGAACAACCCAGGGAAACUUGGGCUAAUACCGGAUAAGUCCGUAAGGAGAAAGAUUCAUCGCCAAAGGAUCGGCCCGCGUCUGAUUAGCUAGUUGGUAGGGUAAUGGCCUACCAAGGCUACGAUCAGUAGCUGGUCUGAGAGGAUGAUCAGCCACAUUGGGACUGAGACACGGCCCAAACUCCUACGGGAGGCAGCAGUGGGGAAUAUUGGACAAUGGGCGCAAGCCUGAUCCAGCCAUGCCGCGUGAGUGACGAAGGCCUUAGGGUUGUAAAGCUCUUUUAGCGGGGAAGAUAAUGACGGUACCCGCAGAAAAAGCCCCGGCUAACUUCGUGCCAGCAGCCGCAGUAAC